rnacentral:rRNA from 1 species
CAAUAGCGUAUAUUAAAGUUGUUGCAGUUAAAAAGCUCGUAGUUGGAUUUCGGGGCAGCCUGGCUGGUCCGCCGCAAGGCGAGUACUGGUCAGCCGCCCUUCCUCUCGAAAGCCCCGACUGCUCUUCAUUGCAGUGGUCGGGUAGUUCGGGACGUUUACUUUGAAAAAAUUAGAGUGUUCAAGGCAGGCCUACGCCUGAAUACAUUAGCAUGGAAUAAUGGAAGAGGACCUCGGUCCUAUUUUGUUGGUUUCCAGGGCCGAAGUAAUGAUUAAGAGGGACAGUUGGGGGCAUUCGUAUUUAAUUGUCAGAGGUGAAAUUCUCGGAUUUAUGAAAGACGGACAACUGCGAAAGCAUUUGCCAAGGAUGUUUUCAUUAA